rnacentral:rRNA from 1 species
UACGUAGGGGGCUAACGUUAUCCGGAAUUACUGGGCGUAAAGGGUGCGUAGGUGGUUUCUUAAGUCAGAGGUGAAAGGCUACGGCUCAACCGUAGUAAGCCUUUGAAACUGAGAAACUUGAGUGCAGGAGAGGAGAGUAGAAUUCCUAGUGUAGCGGUGAAAUGCGUAGAUAUUAGGAGGAACACCAGUGGCGAAGGCGACUUUCUGGACUGUAACUGACGUUGAGGCACGAAAGUGUGGGGAGCAAACAGGAUUAGAUACCCCGGUAGUCCCUGAGCGGGCUGG